rnacentral:rRNA from 1 species
UACGUAGGGCGCAAGCGUUGUCCGGAAUUACUGGGCGUAAAGGGCUCGUAGGCGGCCAACUAAGUCAGACGUGAAAUCCCUCGGCUUAACCGGGGAACUGCGUCUGAUACUGGAUGGCUUGAGUUCGGGAGAGGGAUGUGGAAUUCCAGGUGUAGCGGUGAAAUGCGCAGAUAUCGGGAGGAACACCGGUGGCGAAGGCGGUUCUCUGGGCCUUACCUGACGCUGAGGAGCGAAAGCGUGGGGAGCGAACAGG